CUACGGGGGAAAAAUUUAUUGCUAUUAGAUGAGCCUAUAUUAGAUUAGCUAGUUGGUGGAGUAAUAGCCUACCAAGGCAAUGAUCUAUAGCUGAUCUGAGAGGAUGAUCAGCCACACUGGAACUGAGAUACGGUCCAGACUCCUACGGGAGGCAGCAGUGGGGAAUAUUGGACAAUGGGCGAAAGCCUGAUCCAGCCAUGCCGCAUGAGGGAAGAAGGCAUUUGGGUUGUAAAGCUCUUUUAGUGAGGAAGAUAAUGACGGUACUCACAGAAGAAGUCCUGGCUAACUCCGUGCCAGCAGCCGUGGUAAUACGGAGAGGGCUAGCGUUAUUCGGAAUUAUUGGGCGUAAAGGGUGCGUAGGCUGAUUAAUAAGUUAAAAGUGAAAUCCCAAGGCUUAACCUUGGAAUUGCUUUUAAAACUGUUAAUCUAGAGAUUGAAAGAGGAUAGAGGAAUUCCUAGUGUAGAGGUAAAAUUCGUAAAUAUUAGGAGGAACACCAGUGGCGAAGGCGUCUAUCUGGUUCAAAUCUGACGCUGAAGCGCGAAGGCGUGGGGAGCAAACAGGAUUAGAUACCCUGGUAGUCCACGCUGUAAACGAUGAAUGUUAAAUAUGGGAAGUUUACUUUCUGUAUUACAGCUAACGCGUUAAACAUUCCGCCUGGGGACUACGGUCGCAAGAUUAAAACUCAAAGGAAUUGACGGGGACCCGCACAAGCGGUGGAGCAUGUGGUUUAAUUCGAUGCAACGCGAAAAACCUUACCACUUCUUGACAUGA
rnacentral:rRNA from 1 species